CAAUGCUGGGUAGCCACGCCCUGAUGGAUAAGAGCUGAAAGCAUCUAAGCUCGAAGCCGCCCCAGAGACGAGACACCUCAGAACGCUCGUAAAAGACGAGUUUGAUAGACUGCGGAUGUAAGCAC
rnacentral:rRNA from 2 species